GAUGAAGAACGUAGCGAAAUGCGAUAAGUAAUGUGAAUUGCAGAAUUCAGUGAAUCAUCGAAUCUUUGAACGCACAUUGCGCCCGGCAGUAUUCUGGCGGGCAUGCCUGUCUGAGCGUCAUUUCAACCCUCAUGCCCCUAGGGCGUGGUGUUGGGGAUCGGCCAAAGCCCGCGAGGGACGGCCGGCCCCUAAAUCUAGUGGCGGACCCGUCGUGGCCUCCUCUGCGAAGUAGUGAUAUUCCGCAUCGGAGAGCGAUGAGCCCCUGCCGUUAAACCCCCAACUUUCCAAGGUUGACCUCAGAUCAGGUAGGAAUACCCGCUGAACUUAAGCAUAUCAAUAAGCGGAGGA
rnacentral:misc_RNA from 1 species